ensembl:lncRNA
GGAAGGGAGACAUGAGCCCCCUGAUUUUAACCUGUUUCUGUGUCUCUUUUUUUUUAGUACUGGGGAUUGAACUCGGGACCUUGUGCUUGCGAGGCAGGCAGUGGAAUCAUGUGUCUCAUUUUUCAUUUUCAUCACCGCUUGGUCAGGUUCGAGCUUGUAGGCUGGCCCCUACACCCUCAUACGUGAAGCGUGAGCCAGAGACGCUCCAGGCCCCUGCCUAGGCCCUCUUACCCGCCAUUUCUCCUUGACCACACCAUACUUUUUCACCAUGGAAGAUGAUUCAGACUUUUCCACAGACCAGUGGACAGUUUUCUCCACUGUCAGAGUCAUAAAACUAUGUGCAGGGCCUUGUAUCCCCCCAUGGCUGUGUUGAGUGGAUUGGGGAGCGAAGGGAGAGAACCUCUUCUCAAACAGUGACUGACGGCGAUGCUCCCCUCUGUUCUUCCCAGUGUUCUUUCCAUAUUCUUCCUCCUCCAGCCUUUUGGAAAAGUGGCUCUGACAUCAUCACACUAAUUCCCAACAGAGAGAGGCACGGCUCAGAGGUGAAGCAACUCAGCGAAGAUUGUGACGGUGCCAGCCAUCACUAGUCGAACAGUACCUGAGAGGAGGGGAAAGGAUGAAAGAAAAAACCUCUGAGGAAAAGAAAAAGGAGACAGAGGCGGAGGAGAGACCCCUCUUCCCACUUUAUUGCCCUUUAUAUACCUUUUCCAUAACCCCCAACCCCUCCUCAGCACAUAAUUCGGGCGACUAAUUAUUUUCCAGGGAAAAGGUCAAAUGUAUCUUUACAACUCCGGCAAUAACGUUCCCUCGCAUUACAGACAUUGGAACUCUUUCUAUUUAACCACUCUCGUUACAAGUAACCAUCCUUGUUUUUGUGCCAGCUGCAUAUCCAGGAUUCAUUAUGUUCUCAAGAGACUCGGAGGUCUCUCAAGGUUAUUUCAACCUUUCGCUCUCCACAGAAGAUCACAUAACCCGGGCAGGCGGGCGACUCUAGCGUGGCUAUGAGGGGAAAGAGACAGAUGACAGCAGCAGGCAGCAGCCGGGACAUCUCUGACCAGGCAGACUGGCUUCCUCUUUUUUUUUUUUGGUACCGGGGAUUGAACUUGGGUCCUUGCGCUUGCACAGCAGGCGGCGAAACCACCGAGCUAAAUCCCCGGCCCCCACUGGCUUCCUCUUACAUGCGGUCGAAGGGGCUGGAACCCAUGCCCAGAGUCCACUGACUGACCCACAAAUGAGCAGCUGUCUGAGAAAGGGAAUGUGAACUGAACUUGGGGCUGCAAGGUGCCAUUUUAGACACACGGCUCCUCCUAGGAAUCCUGUGAAUGCUUGCUAGCAGUGAAGACUGCAUUUAUACAGGGAAAUCCGCUCCGGGCCCGAUUCUGUCCGGCAGACUGUGUGAAUUCCGGGCCUUCAGUUACCAUGGAGGGCCUUCAACCCAAGCUCCUGCCUCAGCCUCCCAAGUGCUGGGAUUACAGGCGUGAGCCACCAUGCCUGGCUCCAAUUUAUUUCUUUGCUUGUUUGUUUUGUUUUUGGUACCAGGGAUGGAACUCGGGACCUUGCACCUGCACAGCAGGUGGCAAAACCACUGAGCUAAAUCCCCGGCCCUCCAAUUUAUUUCUUAAAGGUAAAAAUGUUUAAUAUGUAAAAGAAAAAUGUUAUCCCAGAAAAAAUUUAAAAAUAAUAUGUAAUACAUUCUUAUAGAUCAAUAUCUAAGAGGCAGAAAAGGGUAUAAAAUGAAAAAUCACCCUAAUCCCUGCCCCUCAGCCACCUAGUUUCCUUCCCCUAAGGCAACCAAUUUCUUUUGUAAUCUGUACCUUAAAUGGCACAUACAAGUUAAAGGAAAUCGCUAUUUUGGGGAGUGGUGCUGAGUAUUGAACCCAAGUCCUUGUGCAUCUAAGCAUGUGCUCUACCACUGAGCUACACCCCCAGCCCCAAACCUCCCUUUUUAAAACGAGCAUCUCUUAGAGAUUCUCAGACAUUUGAAAAAACACGGUAUCUACUUUGUGCCAGGCUCUGUGUGGGUCCUCAGGUGGUUGUUCGACCUGGCACUGCCUGGUCCUGGUUAGGAUGCCUACAAGCUUGUAAGGCGCGGCAGGGAGCCUCUGCCUGGGCGGC